UGGCAAACGGGUGAGUAACACGUGGGCAACCUGCCCAAAAGAGGGGGAUAACACUUGGAAACAGGUGCUAAUACCGCAUAACCAUAGUUACCGCAUGGUAACUAUGUAAAAGGUGGCUAUACUACCGCUUUUGGAUGGGCCCGCGGCGCAUUAGCUAGUUGGUAGGGUAAAGGCUUACCAAGGCAAUGAUGCGUAGCCGAAUUGAGAGGUUGAUCGGCCACAUUGGGACUGAGACACGGCCCAAACUCCUACGGAAGGCAGCAG
rnacentral:rRNA from 1 species